AGUAAUAUUGGGAAUUCUAAUAAGGAAAAACAAUGUCAUUGCCAUCAGCUUUAAACUAUAUAGAGUUCGCAUCGACCUUUACACUAUGGCUUGAAAUUUGGUAUGCUUCAUGCAAGGUAACCAACUCAAUACUGACCUAGUGAACUCCUAUAUAAACCGUUGUACGUGCGUUCCUUGUGAUAUUACCAUACCCUUUUGAUUAAUCAUGGAUCUUUCUUUCCAGUUAAUCACUCUCAUUGCUGUGUUUCUUGCUUCUAUAAUCUAUCUAGUUAUUGCAUUGCUUCGAGGUUCCAAGCACCACGAGGCUCCGGAACCUAAGGGCGCAUGGCCACUCAUCGGCCACCUCCACCUUCUAGGUGGCGAAGAUCAGCUUCUCUACCGCACAUUAGGUGCAAUGGCCGACAAAUACGGCCCAGCUUUCAACAUCAGUCUCGGCAGCCGCCGUGCUUUCGUAGUGAGCAGUUGGGAAGUAGCCAAAGACUGCUUCACCACAAACGACAAGGCGCUCGCCUCACGUCCGACCACGGUGGCAGGGGCUACAACUACGCCGUGUUUGGCUUCGCACCUUACAGCACCUUUUGGCGUGAGAUGAGAAAGAUUGCAACACUCGAACUCCUCUCGAACGGUCGUCUUGAGAUGCUCAAACACGUCCGGAUUUCUGAAGUAGAUAUGGGGAUACGAGAGUUUCAUGGUUUAUGGGUCGAAAAAGGGUCAUGCACUCCUGUGCUCGUGGAAAUGAAGCAUUGGUUGGAGGAGUUGACACUCAAUGUGGUGGUGAGGAUGGUGGCGGGAAAGCGUUACUUUGGCUCGUCGGCAGCUGCGUGUGACGAGGAGGAGGCGGGGCUGUGCCAGAAAGCAAUCAGUCAGUUUUUUCAUCUGAUUGGGAUCUUCGUACGUGGUUUCGGAUGCGCUGCCGUAUUUGUGGUGGUUGGAUUUGCAGGGACAUGAGAAGGCUAUGAAGAAGACCGCCAAGGACUUGGAUCAAAUACUUGGUGGGUCCGUGGGUGGCUGGAGGAGCAUCGCCGGAGAAGACUAAAAUCUAAUAACGGUGAUCAUCUCAAGGCCAAAGGUGCGGAGGGGGAGGAGGACUUCAUUGAUGUCAUGCUGUCUCUUCAGGAACAAGGGCAACUCUCCAAUUUUCAACAUGAUUCAGAUACCAGUAUCAAGUCUACCUGUCUGGUAUGGCAAUUAUCGAUCUUAGGUGGCAGUGACAAGACAGCAGAAACUCUGACCUGGGUAAUCUCGUUAACUUUGAACAACUGCCACGUCUUAAGGAAGGCACAAGAAGAGCUAGACCUCCACGUUGGCACGGACCGGCUAGUUGAUGAAUCAGACAUCAAGAACCUUGUCUAUCUUCAAGCCAUUAUCAAGGAAACACUGCGGCUUUACCCAGCUGGGCCUCUCUUAGGACUGCGAGAAGCUCUGGAGGAUUGCACCGUCGCCGGAUACCACGUGCCAGCUGGUAACCGGCUGGUCGUAAACUUUCUUGCUGAUCAUAAUGAUGAAGUAAGAGCAGUUGCAUUGAAGAAUGCUCCUGAAAAUCUUAAAUUGACAUCUCCUAGGGUUCAAAAGGACAUAGUGAAUGCUGCUGCUGUUGAAACUACAAAUGUUAUUAUUAAAGAUAUUGGUGAUGCCUUUUUCUCUAUUCUAGUUGAUGAGUCCAGAGAUGUAUCUGUAAAGGAGCAGAUGACUAUUAUUUUUCGUUAUGUGGAUAAAAAUGGCUGUGUGAUUGAAUCCUUCAUAGGCAUUGAAUAUGUUAAGAGUACCACUGCUAUGUCACUUAAGAAAGCUAUAGAUGCACUAUUUUCUAAACAUGGAUUAAGCAUCACUAGGCUACGUGGUCAAGGUUAUGAUGGCGCGAGUAAUAUGAGUGGAGAAUUUAAUGGUUUGAAGACACUUAUUUUGAAGGAGAACUCGAGUGUUUUUUAUGUUCAUUGUUUUACACAUCAGCUUCAAUUAGCUCUUGUCGGUGUUGCUAAAAAGCAUGAUAUUGUUGGUGCAUUCUUUACAUCAGUGGCUAGUGUUGUAAAUAUUGUUGGGGCAUCUUCUAAACGCCGGGACAUUCUUCGAGCAAAGCAAUCUAUCAAGGUCAUUGAGGCACUUCAAAUUGGAGAACUUACAAGUGGACAAGGACUCAAUCAAGAAACUGAAAUCAAGCGUUCAUGUGACACGCGUUGGAGCUCACACUAUGGUACUCUUGUAAACUUUAUUGUCAUGUUUUCUUCUAUCACUGAUGUGCUAGAUGAAAUAUCAUCUACAAAUUUGCAUUUGAUGAGAAUUAUACUUGGAAUCACUCAUGAGUUGUCUCAAGCUCUACAAAAAUAUGAUCAAGACAUAGUGAACGCCAUGGAUUUAGUGAAAGUGUGCAAGAGAAAAUUGCAGACCAUGAGGGAGAAUGGAUGGGUUUCUUUGUUGGAAGAAGUUGUUCUCUUUUGUGGAAAAGAGAAUAUCAGUGUUCCAAACAUGGAUGCUCAAUACGUAUGUCCAGGAAAAUCAAGGCGUAGAGCUCCAGAAAUGACAAAUAUGUAUUACUAUCGCUUUGACUUCUUUUGUGCUGUUAUAGAUUUCCAACUUCAAGAGCUAGACAACCGAUUCAAUGAGGCUAGUACUGAACUUCUCCUUUGUUUGGCAUGUCUCAGUCCUAAUUACUCAUUUGCAGCCUAUAACAAGCAAAGUUUGAUGCGCCUUGUUGAGCUUUAUCCUCAAGAUUUUUCUGCAUCAGAGUUGCUAUUUCUAGAGAUUCAAUUAGAGACAUAUAUUGAUGAUAUGCGGUCUAAUGACAAGUUUCAAGAAUUGCAAGGGAUUGCUGAUCUUACAAAGAAAUUAGUUGAGACAAGAAAGCACAAGACAUAUCCUUAUGUUUAUCUGCUGAUCACUUUGGCGCUUGUACUUCCUGUUGCAACGGCGUCUGUUGAAAGAGCUUUCUCUGCCAUGAAUAUCAUAAAGAAUCGAAUUCGCAAUCGAAUGGGAGACCAAUGGAUGAAUGACAGCUUAGCUGUAUAUCUUGAGAAAGAUAUAUUCAUUUCCAUAGACAAUGAGUCUAUUAUUCAGCGAUUUCAAAAUAUGGCACCUCUUAUUCAAUGUUGUAUAUUUUUGCAGAAUUUGAUUGCAGCAGGUAGCGAUUCAAUGUAUGUUACGUUGACUUGGGCAAUAUCACUAUUGUUGAACCAUCCUCAUGUGUUGGAAAAAGCUCAAGAGGAACUGGACACAGAAGUAGGAAGUGAAAGAACCGUCGCCGAGUCAGAUUUAAGCAAGUUGGUCUAUCUCCAAGCCAUCGUGAAGGAGACGUUGCGUUUAUACCCUGCAGCAUCAUUAGCAGCACCACAUGAGUUCAAUGAAGACUGCACCAUAGCUGGCUACCAUGUUCCCAAGGGCACGCGGUUUUCAUGCGAACUCGAUCUAUAUUGUAACAACAAGCCUUUCAGCGAUUCUAUGGAAUAAGAGGAUCGAUGUGUGGAAGAAUCAUGUAAGAUCGAGCACAAUAAAUAGAUGUCGAAUCAAUGUUGUUCAUUGCAUGACUACAACUAUACUGUACAGUUAUAUAGCAAAGAAAAAUCAAUUGUGAUGGCAUGGCUUCAGUGAGGUUUAAGAAGAUAGAUAUAUAGGUACAGAUCAGAGUCUUCAACAAAACGUCUCUUUUGGUUUGAAUUUUUCUACAAGUACUAGUCCUAUUCUUCCUUUGCUUAAUUUGUAUUUCAUCAUUACGUGUAUUGAUUAGUCUGAAAGAAGAAAAUGCCAAAGCAUCGAUCUUGAUGAAAUUAUCUUUUUCUC